UGGGGAAUAUUGCACAAUGGGCGCAAGCCUGAUGCAGCCAUGCCGCGUGUGUGAAGAAGGCCUUCGGGUUGUAAAGCACUUUCAGCGGGGAGGAAGGCGAUAAGGUUAAUAACCUUGUCGAUUGACGUUACCCGCAGAAGAAGCACCGGCUAACUCCGUGCCAGCAGCCGCGGUAAUACGGAGGGUGCAAGCGUUAAUCGGAAUUACUGGGCGUAAAGCGCACGCAGGCGGUCUGUCAAGUCGGAUGUGAAAUCCCCGGGCUCAACCUGGGAACUGCAUUGGAAACUGGCAGGCUAGAGUCUUGUAGAGGGGGGUAGAAUUCCAGGGGUAGCGGUGAAAUGCGUAGAGAUCUGGAGGAAUACCGGUGGCGAAGGCGGCCCCCUGGACAAAGACUGACGCUCAGGUGCGAAAGCGUGGGGAGCAAACAGG
rnacentral:rRNA from 1 species